UAAAUAACCUUUUCUUCCUGAAAAAGCACCUGCAGUAUGACAUCAGCUCUUCUGCCGUGCUGCCCUAUCACACUGAUGUGGCAGUCGGAGGGACACGGAAUAGACGGAAAGAGACUGGCCGCAACUCCCUUUAGAUGCUGCAGUGUCCCACUCAUGGCUCCCGUGCAGACCCUGUCCUGCAUGGAACAGAGCAGCGGUGCGUGGAGGAGGUGCACAGACACGCCACUCUACACAGGACCCAGGAUAUUCCUGGAGCCCAGCCACCAUGCUGUAAGGAAGCUCAAGCAGCCACAUGGAGAGGCUGUGUGGUUGUUCCAACCACUGCCUCCAUCAAUGCCAGACAUAGACAAAAGGAGAGAGAAGUGAGCAGAGAGGAGGGGACCUCACUACUACCA